rnacentral:rRNA from 1 species
UACAGAGGUCUCAAGCGUUGUUCGGAUUCAUUGGGCGUAAAGGGUGCGUAGGCGGCGCGGUAAGUCGGGUGUGAAAUCUCGGGGCUUAACUCCGAAACUGCAUUCGAUACUGCCGUGCUUUGAGGACUGGAGAGGAGACUGGAAUUUACGGUGUAGCGGUGAAAAUGCGUAGAUAUCGUUUGGAACGCCAAUGGUGAAAACAGGUCGCUGGGGAUGUGCUGACGCUGAGACACGGAAAGCCAGGGGAGCAAACGGG